ACGUAUACCGUCCAGGUGGUCUCAACAACACAUUACUCUCUCAAGGCUGCGUCCUUGGGAAACUUCUAGCAUGGAGAAGGCAAGUGGAACACACAUUCCAAGGACAAGGGAGAGGCACUUUGAAAAUGUAAUCCUACCACCUCUGGCCUCCGUGAUUUAAGAAGUCAGCCAUUGGUCUUAUUGAGGAUCCCUUGCACAUGACUCCCCGCUAGGAACCAAAAAGAGACCUGCCUGAGCUUAGUCUGUGAGGCACGCAUUCAGGAAACGUCACUCACCCCGCUCUGUCAGGUGAACUGUGGCAUCUCAGUGGAAGCCGUCCGACACUGUGCAGGAAAACUUUCAGGAAAGAGUGAUUAAGAAUUGCCAUUCAGAAAAUCUGCAAAGUCACACAGCCCAGGCAUGCACAAAAGCAGAGAUUGUGACCUGAAAUGACCACAGAACCAAAGAUCCUUCUUCCCACAGAACCCAAGGACGAGGAAAUGACUGGAACUUGAAAGUCAGACUCUUACCAGAAGUGAAGGGUACCUCAUUCAGGAAGAUCCGGUGUUCAAAUUUCUUCCUUGCCUCAUCAUAAAAGUUUAGAACCUUACCAUAAAUGCUUGAAGCCCACCAAUCAAAGCCUGCCCCACCAGCAUUUCCGCGUGCAGCCCUUUCUCCCUAACCUCUUAAAUUUUGCCCCAAAUCCUGAACUGGGGAGACAGAUCUGAGGGCACAUGCACCCUGUUCUCCCUGCAGACCAAUCUCUAAGAAUAAAGCUGCUCUCUUUUCCCAAAGGCUGAUGCUGCAAUUAAUUGGCUUGUCUAUGUGCACUGGGCAGAGAAUCCCAAUUUUGUGUGCUAAGACUAGUCCCCCACUUCCCAUAUCCUCUGGCCCCAAUUCCUCCAGUUCCAUGAAUUUUCUGGCCCUCAGACCCCUCAUUCAAGUCCCCCGAGUUUGCUUCAGCACCAGCUCCAUGGCAAUUCCCAAAGACUAGGGGUCAGACCACCUCUCACCUUGCCCAGAGCCCCAGAUGGUUCUAGCAUAUCCAUGGAGAGGGGAGGUCCAGCAAUGUCUGAGCUUGGCUGACCACUGGCUUGGUGGGUGGGGAGGAGGGGGAUGGUGGCUCUUCAUUCAGAAAAAUAAAGAGUGUGAUUUUCCUCAUGCUGAGAGCCCUGGAGUCAGGCUCCAUGACACUACCUGCUU
rnacentral:lncRNA from 1 species